rnacentral:rRNA from 1 species
GACGAACGCUGGCGGCGUGCUUAACACAUGCAAGUCGAGCGGUAAGGCCCUUUCGGGGGUACACGAGCGGCGAACGGGUGAGUAACACGUGGGUGACCUGCCCUCAGCUCUGGGAUAAGCCUGGGAAACCGGGUCUAAUACCGGAUAUGACUCCAUGACGCAUGUUGUGGGGUGGAAAGCCUUGUGCGGCUGAGGAUGGGGCCCGCGGCCUAUCAGCUUGUUGGUGGGGUGAUGGCCUACCAAGGCGACGACGGGUAGCCGGCCUGAGAGGGCGACCGGCCACACUGGGACUGAGACACGGCCCAGACUCCUACGGGAGGCAGCAGUGGGGAAUCUUGCGCAAUGGGCGAAAGCCUGACGCAGCGACGCCGCGUGAGGGAUGACGGCCUGGU